GGUGAGAUGGCCGAGCGGUCUAAGGCGCUACGUUAAGGUAUUCCUUAAUAACAUCCUCUCAAUCACCGUGGAGAAUGAUUCCGUAGUCCGAAAGGGCGUGGGUUUGAAUCCCACUCUCAUCA